CGCAAUUUAACCUAAAAAGAAAUUUAUAAAAAAGUUUCUACCCAUUAAAAAAGAUUAACAUAUAAAUUAACAAUUAAUUUAUUUUAAGAGACCCGUAAAAUAAGGAAACAAAAUUUUAUCAUAUAAAUAUACAUUUGUAAAAUUCAGGUUUAUCCCUUCCACAUCAACCUAAAUUAUCUUUGGAAAAAAAAGAAAAAAAAAAUCCUUAAAUUUACUUUGGAAAAAAUGCUAGAAAACCUCCUCUCUCUCUUUUUCGGAAUUUAAAAUAUCAAAAUUGGAAUUAACGAAAACCCUGUCACAAAAACAAAGGCCCAAGCCCUUUUCAACAGCCGAACAGCAAACAAGGCUAAAAGCCCAAUAUUUGGCCCAGAAAACAAUUAUAGUCUAGUUUCCUCAACACUUUUGUUGUAACAUAUCCGGUGAAGUGAUGAGGGGCAAAGCAGAGCAUUUCCCCUGGCAAGAUGCAAAGCGUCACUCCGAUCCUGAGUCCGGUGGUUCCGGUGGAGGCCUAAUGAAGGAUGCGGGAAGAUCCCAAGAGAGGGCCAAGCAUCUUGCUGAAGCAGAGUCCUUUACGGUCAUGGAAGAUAAUCGUUGACGUACGAUGUCAAUUGUUUGUUUCAGAAUUGCCGAUUGGGAACACCUUUUGAGUUUGAAAGCUCGGUUAUUGCGCUCAGCCCAAAUUCGGUUGAUAGUGGUGGAGAGAACCAACCUUUCGUGACCACUGGUUCGAUGUCCAAGCUGUCAGCUAGCACCAAUCCAUUGGAGAAACAUGAAAUCGGCAGAUGUCUUGAAGAUGACUCCACAAUGGUCGUACAAAAAGGCAAUCAAAAAACAGGUGAGUAUGAGUUUCAUCUUGUGGGUGAAGGAAUUUGGGGGUUGGUCAGAGAUAAAUCAGGUAAUUGCUCCACAAUUUCAGCACCAAUCCUCAUUAACUACUUGGUGGCAAUAUCUAAUUAGAUUCUGGUCUACCACCGUAAGUUUGACUACCUAUAUAACUUGUGUCCAAAGAAAUUGUAUAAUGUGAUAAGAAAUUAUAGGAAAGCCAUGUCUCCCAUUUGUACAAGGCGGCACUAAUCCUCACUUAGCUUUCCUUUUGUAUUCGGACCAAGUAAUAUAUAUCUCUAUAUCUAUAAAUAGUACCAUCCAUCUUCUCAUUCUACUCUCUUAGAUUUUUCUGCUCAGCACACUACUUCUCAUUCUACUCUCUUAGAUUUUUCCGUUCAGUGGCUUGCAUAGAGGAAAAGAAUGGAAAGCUACCAAUUCUCUUAUGUUAUAAUUAUAUAUUAAUUUGUAUAUGAGUCCAUAUAUUAACUUUGGGGGUGGACUUAUUUAAAAUUCUGAUACAGCAGUGGCCUAAUGCUAAUGUAGCUUGUGGAUUUAUAUAUAUCUGUUUUAUAUAUUUUGUUGAGUAGUGUUUAAUGGUUGCAGAUUAUGCUAUGAUAGGAGUUGUCAUUAUUUUAAUUUUUCUUUUUUCUGAAUAAAUUUCUUUCUUCCUUUUGUAGUUACAUACUUUUUGUGUGUUUGUUUCUUGUAAACGUACUUAUCUCUGUUUCUUGUGCAUAUAUAUUAUUUUUCUGAUGGGAUGGAUAUCUUGAUAUGUGAUUGAAAGCAGGCAACAAUAUUGGAUGUCAUCUAUAGAUGAUCAAAUGGUGCUCACAAGUACUCAUGAGCAACACUCACCUCAUCCUGUGCAAGCAAUAAGAAGAGAAAACCACCCCAGCAUGCAUCAUCAUAACAUUGACACCAGAGGAAGAGGUGGUCGUCCUUCUCUGGCUCGGGUUAAUACCAGGAAUUCGAGUAACAGGCUCAUACCCAGAGUCAUCUUUUCGGAAAUUAUCUACUAGAAGAUGAUGUGCUCUUGCUGGAUGAUUCUUCAGAUUACUCCCUCUACAUUGGCAGCUCGCUUCACAUUCCGGCAACCCCCAAUUCAGAUAACUUCACUGAUGAUAUGUCUUACGAGGUUUCUACAUUACUAGGUUCAACUUGAAUGUGUUCUUGAAGUAGUAUGUAUUCAUGUUAAACAAAUCAUUUCCUAUAUAUAUGCACAGGGGUUAAAUUGAAGACUAGUGAUUAUUUAAAAAUCUUAUUGGACUGUCAUUAUAGAUAUAUAAUCAUACACGUAUAACUAAAAGGACAACUUUGCAGGACGUAUUAGAGCUUCAAGAACUAAUGGGCCGGGUUAGCAUUGGGUUGUCAAAGGAAACCAUUGCAAAACAGCUUAACACGAGAACCCAUGUUUCAUCUGCGAAUCAGAACGAAGAACCUGAAAUCUGUGUUAUAUGCCAAGUAUAUAGAACUAUAUAUAUAUAUAUAAUUCUUCACAUUUGUGUUUGGCUUUAAUUUAAGGCAUACAUCUUUGUCUGUUGAUGAUGUAAUAACUAUAAUUUUGCAGGCGGAGUAGGAAAAGAAUGAGACAAUUGGAAGACUUAGAUGCGGACAUGAAUAUCAUGCAGACUGCAUAAAGUCGUGGCCCCUUGAAAAAAAUGUUUGCCCUAUCUGCAAAGCUACACCUUUUUGAUCAUAUAUAUAGUAGAGCUAGAAAGUUCCUAGUCACUUUUAGAGAGAGGCCAAGGAUGAUGUAUAGACUGUUUAUUUCAUUUGUUUUUUUUAUGUCUAUUGUGGACAAUGUAUUGACGUGUUUAUACAAUUCAGUUGUUUCAUUUA